rnacentral:rRNA from 1 species
AUUGAACGCUGGCGGCAUGCCUUACACAUGCAAGUCGAACGGCAGCACGGGAGCAAUCCUGGUGGCGAGUGGCGAACGGGUGAGUAAUAUAUCGGAACGUGCCCAGUCGUGGGGGAUAACGUAGCGAAAGCUACGCUAAUACCGCAUACGAUCUACGGAUGAAAGCGGGGGAUCGCAAGACCUCGCGCGAUUGGAGCGGCCGAUAUCAGAUUAGCUAGUUGGUGAGGUAAAGGCUCACCAAGGCGACGAUCUGUAGCUGGUCUGAGAGGACGACCAGCCACACUGGAACUGAGACACGGUCCAGACUCCUACGGGAGGCAGCAGUGGGGAAUUUUGGACAAUGGGCGCAAGCCUGAUCCAGCAAUGCCGCGUGCAGGAUGAAGGCCUUCGGGUUGUAAACUGCUUUUGUACGGAACGAAAAAGCUCUUU